rnacentral:rRNA from 1 species
GACGGGGGGGGCAAGUGUUCUUCGGAAUGACUGGGCGUAAAGGGCACGUAGGCGGUGAAUCGGGUUGAAAGUUAAAGUCGCCAAAAACUGGUGGAAUGCUCUCGAAACCAAUUCACUUGAGUGAGACAGAGGAGAGUGGAAUUUCGUGUGUAGGGGUGAAAUCCGCAGAUCUACGAAGGAACGCCAAAAGCGAAGGCAGCUCUCUGGGUCCCUACCGACGCUGAGACGCGAAAGCGUGGGGAGCGAACAGG